UUAGAAAUAGUUAAGCAAUUAUUGGGGCAAAUAAUUUAAUAAUGUUUUAUAGUUCAAAACAAACUAACUUAAGGACAAGAAAAUGUUUUGUAGAAAUCAAAAAUGUGAAUAUUCAAGAUAACUGAAGGAUGGGUGUAAUUUGCUGAAUGUGCCGUGCCGGCUUUUGUGGUGUUUAGAUACGACACUCAAAUGCACAAUGCUUUGAUUUUAUGUGUUAUUAAUCCUGACGAUAGUUUACGUUGCAUGUUGGUGGUAAAUUACAUCAUUGGUCCAGGGAAAGUAAAACACCCCAUUAACAUACUGAAUUCCAAAUGUUUCUGCGAGGAGACAUGUACGUUUGUAAAAAUACAAAAAUGCAAGUGAAUUGACGGACAUGCACCCAGCAGCAAAUGACAGUAGUGCCAGUCAUACCUACCUACUUUGUUACUGAUAACGAAGUAUUUCGAUUACUUUUGAACCAUGCUAAACACUAUCAAUGGAGGCGCUAUACUCGACUUAGGAGAGAAGG